rnacentral:rRNA from 1 species
UACAGGGGGGGCAAGCGUUGUUCGGAAUUACUGGGCGUAAAGGGCUUGUAGGUGGCCAAUUAAGUCAGACGUGAAAUCCCUCAGCUUAACUGGGGAACUGCGUCUGAUACUGGAUGGCUUGAGUUUGGGAGAGGGAUGCGGAAUUCCAGGUGUAGCGGUGAAAUGCGUAGAUAUCUGGAGGAACACCGGUGGCGAAGGCGGCUAUCUGGACUGUGAUUGACGCUGAGGCGCGAAAGCGUGGGGAGCAAACAGG